CCUCAGACACCAGCAGGUAAGAGUCAUGAGUUUUGUGUUGCUCCCCACCAAACCCUAACAUGUAGGUACUCAACAGCAGCCAAUGGAUGUGGAGAAUGAGGUCAGCUGCAGAUGGCAUUUCAUAUCUGCUUCAGAAACGGCAGUCUUCAUCACCAGCCCCACACUGCAUAUUCGAGUGGCACACAGCUGUGUUCCUUAGCAUCUGCUGGAUCCAUAGUAACCCUCUUGGAAAGGCCCUUCUUGCUUUGUAUUUCUGCUGCUGUAACUCCUGUUAAGAAUCUGGCACCCAGAAGUCAUGAAGCUGCCCCUGGAGAAGGGGGAAAAGGGAAAAAUUAAUCAGAUUAUGAACUAAUCCUUUUAAUCAUUGGACAGCAGUCUUUGAUUAAUGAAAGCAGAAAAAUCAUGA